rnacentral:rRNA from 1 species
CGGGUGAGUAACACGUGGAUAACCUACCUAUAAGACUGGGAUAACUUCGGGAAACCGGAGCUAAUACCGGAUAAUAUAUUGAACCGCAUGGUUCAAUAGUGAAAGACGGUUUUGCUGUCACUUAUAGAUGGAUCCGCGCCGCAUUAGCUAGUUGGUAAGGUAACGGCUUACCAAGGCAGCGAUGCGUAGCCGACCUGAGAGGGUGAUCGGCCACACUGGAACUGAGACACGGUCCAGACUCCUACGGGAGGCAGCAGGC